rnacentral:rRNA from 1 species
UACGUAGGGUGCAAGCGUUGUCCGGAAUUAUUGGGCGUAAAGAGCUCGUAGGCGGUUUGUUGCGUCGGCUGUGAAAUCCCGAGGCUCAACCUCGGGUCUGCAGUCGAUACGAGCAAACUAGAGUGUUGCAGGGGAGACUGGAAUUCCUGGUGUAGCGGUGAAAUGCGCAGAUAUCAGGAGGAACACCUAUGGCGAAGGCAGCUCUCUGGGACGGUACUGACGCUGAGACGCGAAAGCGUGGGGAGCGAACAGG